rnacentral:rRNA from 1 species
UACGAAGGGGGCUAGCGUUGCUCGGAAUUACUGGGCGUAAAGCGCGUGUAGGCUGCUCUGCAAGUCGGAUGUGAAAGCCCUGGGCUCAACCUAGGAAGUGCAUUCGAAACUGCAGAGCUGGAGUCCUGGAGAGGAAGGCGGAAUUCUCGGUGUAGAGGUGAAAUUCGUAGAUAUCGAGAGGAACACCGGUGGCGAAGGCGGCCUUCUGGACAGUGACUGACGCUGAGACGCGAAAGCGUGGGGAGCAAACAGG